rnacentral:rRNA from 1 species
GACGAACGCUGGCGGCGUGCCUAAUACAUGCAAGUAGAACGCAGCUGCGAACGGGCGAGUAACGCGUAGGUAACUGCCUGGUAGCGGGGGAUCACAAUUGGAAACGAUAGCUAAUACCGCAUACUACCAGAUGGACCUGCGUUGUAUUAGCUAGUUGGUGGGGUAACGGCUCACCAAGGCAAAGAUACAUAGCCGACCUGGGAGGGUGAUCGAGCACCCUUGGACUUGUGCACGGCCCAGACUCCUACGGGAGGCAGCAGUAGGGAAUCUUCGGCAAUGGACGGAAGUCUGACCGAACAACGCCGCGGGAGUGAAGAAGGUGUUCGGAUCGUAAAGCUCUGUUGUAAGAGAAGCGUUAUCUUACCAGAAAGGGACGGCUAACUACGUGCCAGCAGCCGCGGUAAUAC